rnacentral:rRNA from 1 species
GCAUGAUAUUUUUAUUAAAGAAUUUCGGUUAUCGAUGGGGAUGCGUUCCAUUAGUUUGUUGGCGGGGUAACGGCCCACCAAGACUACGAUGGAUAGGGGUUCUGAGAGGAAGGUCCCCCACAUUGGAACUGAGACACGGUCCAAACUCCUACGGGAGGCAGCAGUGAGGAAUAUUGGUCAAUGGGCGAGAGCCUGAACCAGCCAAGUAGCGUGAAGGAUGAAGGCUCUAUGGGUCGUAAACUUCUUUUAUAUGGGAAUAAAGUAUUCCACGUGUGGAAUUUUGUAUGUACCAUAUGAAUAAGGAUCGGCUAACUCCGUGCCAGCAGCCGCGGUAAUACGGAGGAUCCGAGCGUUAUCCGGAUUUAUUGGGUUUAAAGGGAGCGUAGGUGGAUUGUUAAGUCAGUUGUGAAAGUUUGCGGCUCAACCGUAAAAUUGCAGUUGAAACUGGCAGUCUUGAGUACAGUAGAGGUGGGCGGAAUUCGUGGUGUAGCGGUGAAAUGCUUAGAUAUCACGAAGAACUCCGAUUGCGAAGGCAGCUCACUAGACUGUUACUGACACUGAUGCUCGAAAGUGUGGGUAUCGAACAGGAUUAGAUACCCUGGUAGUCCACACAGUAAACGAUGAAUACUCGCUGUUUGCGAUAUACAGUAAGCG